AUUUAUUUAUGUGUUAAAUUAGGUAUACAGAUACAAUGUAGGUAUUAUCAAUGUUUAAUGUUUAGUGCAUGCAGUGAGAAAAAUAGGUCUCUUCUCUCGUAUAUUUCAAAAUUUUCUUGUAUGCAAUUACAGGUCUAUUCUUGAAUGAAUUUUGUUCUAAAAACUGAUAUAUUAUGUAUAAUCUAGUCUCAUUCAUUUAAAAUUUUACUCAUUGUGUCAACGUUGUUUCCUGUGAUUACAAUAAAUCUUGUGCACAAUAUCGAAAAUUGUGAAACACUUUAUUUAAUUUACGAAGGUAUUUUAUUUCAUUUUAAAAUGAAUAAAUCAAGUGUUAUUUGUGAUUUUUUUCAACUUGAAGCAGUUAAUAUUCAUGUAAAGUGUGGACUUUGUCGUAUAAAAUUAAAAAAUAAUCAUUCUUCGACUUAAAAUUUAAUUAGACAUAUUAAAUCUAAGCAUCCAUUAGUAAAUUUAUUAAAUAUACUCAUGUAAUAGAAGAGAUGAUUGAUGACCCAAAUAUUACUCUAUCAACUUCUAUUUCUUAGUAUACACUGAGUCACAGUACCAUGGCACACUGAUUCAGAUCAUUCAGUUCACUUAAAAGAGUUAACUCACUCAUGAACUACCCAUCCUUAUGAUAUACAGAAAAAAUAUCAUGAAGAUAUUCCAAAAGAGUGAAUUAGGGAUGACAAAAUAGCAAAGGAUACCUCAAAUCCUCAAACAAUUUAAUAUUGUAGAAACUAAAUUAUGUUAUUAUCAAGAUACACAUUUUUUAAUAAACAUAUAUUUACUAAUUUAUGACAACAAAUAUUAAAUAAUUAGACAUAAAAAUUCCAUACUAAAUAAUCAGUCAUCCUUUUCCAUUUUCCUGUAUAAAAGUAGAAAUUCUUCAACACACUUGAUGUUGCUGAUAAAUAAAUUAAGUUUAAAAUAUACAUAACUGCUUCAAUAUAAUUAUGAAAAUUUCUAAUGUACUUUUAUACUUAAUUUUGAAAUUUUUAUGUACGUAACAUAAGAACUAAAAUAUAAAUUGAUUUAACAACUAAAGAAUAUAUAAAUAUACUCUAAAUUAUUGUAGAUUGAGUAUAAUAUAAUAAAUUAAACAACUUGAAGUGUUCUAUAAAUAAAUAUCACUUUUAUACCAGAUUUUAAAUCAAUUCCAAACAACUUUAUUUUAUUAAUUUAACCAACAGUGGAUAAUGUUAGAGGAAUAAAAAAAGCAAACUGCGAAUAAUAACAACAUAUUUAAGAACAUAUAAUUAUUUUCCUUUGUAUUGUAUGAAAAAUUAACUUAUUCAAAAAGAAUAAUACCAUAAAAAUGAAUACAAAAAUUUUUUACUAUUAUUACAAUUUAAUAUUUAGCACCUCGAUACUUAGGCUUAACUCUAAUAUUGUCUUGUAAGUAUAAAUAAUCAGUCCAUCUUCUUUUAAACUACAAGUAUAGAUCAUUAUUUGCUUUCUCUUAAUAUAGAACCAAUUUUUUUAUGUGCAUAUUCCAAACAUCUAGCUAACUCUGGACUACAACCAUUUUCAGCAAUAGUUUUGAAGCGAUAGGUACGGAAUAUAUUGUCUUCAAUAAAAGUAACAGCAUUCAUUAAUGGACAUAAUAUAACUUUAGUAUGAUCUGUGAAAUUAAUCUAGAAAAAAUAUAAACACUUAUUCAAAUAAAUAAAAGUUUAAUGAUAUUAAAAAUUUAUAAAUUACCUGUAAAGUGCCAUUAGUAAGCUGCAUAAUAACUGAUGUUGUAGAUCUAUACCAUUGAAACAUGUAAGGAGUACGACUCAAUUGAUCUGCAUCUUUUGCUAACAUAUCCGCCCCAGCUUUAAUAAGAUGAUCAUUCAUGUAACGUCUAAAGUACAUUAGUAACUUCAUUUUUUUUUCUAAUGUUGGGGGUGUAUGUUCAGUGGUAUAAUAUUGUUCAGAACCGUUUCUUUCUAUGUAAUGAACGUCGCUGGAUAAGAAUUAAAAUAAAAAUUAACUAUUAAACCUUCUACAACUACAAUUAUUGUAUUACUUAAAAUUAGCUAGAAGCACAAUACGAGUGAAAUCAUUGAACAUAACACCUACACAAUCAUCUGAUAACUCAUAACCAAAGCCAUAUUUAUCUGAAUAAUCCACCCAUUUACUGACCCAUAUAAGAGGUUGAGCAGCUGGAUCUGUGUUUUCUUCUAAAAAAAAAAAAAUAUACUCUGUAUAACAAAUAUGAGACAAAUUUUAAAUAAAACAAUCUAAACUAAACUAUUUACAACUAAUUGAAAAAUAUUUUUUCUUUAUAUGUUUACAGAAAAAAGACAAAACAACUUGAUUUUUUUUGAAGACAUUGUCAUUUCUAAUUUACAUGAUAUAUAAUUUUUUAAUUAGUUCUAUUAAUUAUUUUUAUUUUGAAUAUCAAUAUAUAAUAUCAAAAUACUUCUAUUAGUUGAGAGUACUGAUUUAUAGUUUAAAUGUUGUUAACAUCUACCUAAGUUUACUAACAAUAUAUUAGGCCAGAUCUUUACUACAUUUAAUUUUGAGGUCCAGUCCAUUGAUUACCUAGGCAUCUUACCUAGGUCAGUUAAUGUGUCAUGCUUUGGUGUGUACAGGUACCUGAACCAGGGUUUAAUACCAUAGGACUAGGCUAUAUUAGUGUUCUCAUUUCUUCUUUAAAUGCAUAAAAGGUAAUAUAAUUCUUUUUUCAAAAGUUAAUAAUAUCUUACAUUCUAUAAUUUUCAACAAAAAUUUUAAUCGUAAUCCUUUAAAAUGUUAUCAACUUUUGUUUUUUAAAUGGAAACCUAUAUUUUUAAUGAAGUCACAAAAAAGAAAAUGACUAGUCUAUAACAAUUUUUGAAGCAGUAUUAGCACUUUUAUAGUAAGAUGAGAGGAGUAGCUUGGUUCAGACAUGUUUAGAGAUAAAAACAGACCCAAUCAUAACCUCCAAUCUUUAUGGUAAAUUAAAGUGUAAAUAAUUUCCAAAAUACUAAUUCAAAAUUUCUUGACUUAUACCAACUUCUUAGAUUACUUUUACAUUUGUAAACUGGUUAAUGUUGUUUCCAUUUAAAGAAAAAGAUUUUUUUUUGAAAAUUAUAAAAUAAAUUAUUUUUUAUAUUUUUAAAGACAUUGAAUGAGUCAUACUUAAAGAUUUACCUUGUAUAAAAUACAAAUGAUUAAAUCAUUAAGAUAAAAUAUUUACCCAUAUUUUUCAUUCCUUUCAUAGCAGGUCGAGUUUUUAACAGAUUUCCUAAUUCUCUUUCUAAUGAUAUCAUGUAUUCUCUACAUUCAGUAACAGAUACACCAUUACCAUCAGCUGCUCUAUAACCAUGAGUUACACUAAACAUAGGCGGUUUAUUUACUGGAUCCUGAGGCUUAGACAUAGUUUUAAUAGAAGUAGCUUUUGGACUAUUGAGUUCUGAAAAAAAAAAAUAUAUAUUUUAAGUAGAUAAAAUCUACAUAUCCAAUAAAUAUAUAUUUAUCUUAUAAUUAUAUUAUAUUAUUUCAAAUAGCAACUAAAAAAAUAUAAUACAAUAAUAAUAGAAAAAAAGUAUUUGGCACCUAGUAAAAUUAAUAAAGUUAUACCAUUAAGAGGUCGACGAUUAGAAAUAGACUCUCUAUAAUUAAUUGAAUCAAAUCGAGGGGCCAUUGUUAAACAAGAGGGUGGCAAUCUCUUCGGCAUAUAGCCAGUAGUAAGAAAAUCAGCUUUCAUAAUAUCAGAAAUAGUAGGACGUUUUUUUGGAUCCGACUGAAGCAUCUUACAGAUAAGUGUAGUAGCACUCUUAUUAAUAUGAGAAGGCACGUUGUAAUCACACCUUGUAAUUCUUGCAUAGGUUUCUUUGAGGGAAUUAGUUUCAAAUGGAGGUUUUCCUACUAACAGAGUAUACCUUAAGAAAAAAAAAUUGUUGAUUAAAAUUUAAAUUGUAUUAAUAGAUGAUGUUUAAAUAACAUACAUAAUGCAACCUAUAGACCAUACAUCUACUUCAAAACUAUGACCAGUUUUAGUUAGAAUUUCAGGAGCAAUAUAAUUUGGAGUUCCACAUAAAGUUCUAAAUAAAAUACAUUUCAACUUUAACAAUUGAUAAAAAUACAUUAAAUCAUAAAUUAUAUAUACAUAAAUAUUAUAUUACUUUUUGCGUUGUCCAUCAUAUUCUAUUUUAGCAGCUAAACCAAAAUCUCCUAAUUUCACUUCCAUUUCAUCAUUCAAAAACAAAUUUCCUAGUUUUAAAUCUCUAUGAAUAAUACCUUGAUUAUGUAGAAAUAAAGUACCUUCAAGUAUUUGGUAAACAUAGUAUCUUGUUUCAGGUUCAGUGAGUGUUUUUCUCCUUCUAUAAUCAAAAAUUAGAAAAUGAUCAAUAAAAUAUAUUAGUAAUCAAAAAUUGAUAAAAAAAAAAUUGGCAUUGAAUGAGAUAUGGAACUUAUAUUGUGAAUGUAGUCAUAUUUGAAGACCUUGGACAAUGUGGUAUUAUUUCAUCAAAUCCACUCCAAAUUUAUCAAAAAAAUUCAACGAUUGAUAUUUAACUGUGUAACAAUAGCAAGAUAUAUCUCAACAAUAAUUUAUUGCUUUUUAACUUAUUAUUAAUUAAGCAUUAUUUAUGAGUUAAUAUAUUUUAAUAUGUAUAUAUAUAUUAUAUAAUAUGAAAUCUACUGUACUUAAUUAAAUUUUUGGACUCAAAAAAAUGUUUUUUUUUACUUCCUGAACCAGUGUUGUAUUUUCAAAAAAAAAUUUAUACCAAUUUUGCCUCUGACCUAAAAAAUGGAGAUGUCUUGUGUUAUUUCAAUAUCUUCAAUUUAAAAUAAAACUGAGGACACUGUACUAUACAUUGUUCUUAAUUGGCUCUUUUGUACUUUUUUAAAAUAUAAAAUUUUUACAAUUAAAUGCUGAUGUUCAAUGAAAAAAAAAAGAAAUUCACAGUAAAACCAAUACUUUAUUAGCUUUUAAAACCAAAAAGAAAAUUUUUCUUUGUACACCUGAGAAAAUGUUGUGGUUAAUGGUCACUCAAGUUCAAAUUUGUUUCAUAUAUGCAUGUAGAUAAAUAUUCUACUGAAUGAAUUCUUCUAUUUAAUUAUUGCAAUUCAAAGAAUAAGAUAAUCCUGCUGUAUAUAGGUAGCAACUGACAUUAUAUUUACUUUUUAUUUAUUAAUUGAUAG